rnacentral:rRNA from 1 species
CCUACGGGGGGCAGCAGUGGGGAAUAUUGCACAAUGGGGGAAACCCUGAUGCAGCGACGCCGCGUGAGUGAAGAAGCGCCUCGGCGCGUAAAGCUCUGUCAGCAGGAACGAUAAUGACGGUACCUGAAGAAGAAGCCCCGGCUAACUACAUGCCAGCAGCCGCGGUAAUACGUAGGGGGCAAGCGUUAUCCGGAUUUACUGGGUGUAAAGGGAGCGUAGACGGCGGGGCAAGUCUGGAGUGAAAGGCCGGGGCCCAACCCCGGGACCGCUCUGGAAACUGCCCGGCUGGAGUGCGGGAGAGGUAAGCGGAAUUCCUAGUGUAGCGGUGAAAUGCGUAGAUAUUAGGAGGAACACCAGCGGCGAAGGCAGCUUACCAAGCUACUUCUGACGUUGAGGCACGAAAGCGUGGGGAGCAAACAGGAUUAGAUACCCUUGUAGUC